ACGCAAUAGUACGUUUUGUCGAAAAUGACAUCCAUUCAGAUUUCAUAUACUUUUCAUAAGACAUUUUAAUAUCUUAUAGAACAACUUUUGAUUUGUUAACUUAGAAAUUGAGGGGUAUUUACUUUACACGGGUGUUGAAAUUUGGGGACUGAUUAAGCAUAAAAAUGCACAAUAUUAUAUAACAUAUUCGUCAUCUUUAUCGAAAUUUUAGAAACUAAUAAAGCAAAGUCCUUAUCAGAUCACAUGCAUAUGAGCAAAAUUGAUCUUUUUAAAAACUCCAAAA
rnacentral:lncRNA from 1 species